rnacentral:tRNA from 1 species
AGCGUCGUGGUUCAGUGGUAGAAUACUCGCCUGCCACGCGGGUGGCCCGGGUUCGAUUCCCGGCCGACGCAG